AUUUUAGUGAAUAUAUACUAUUAUCUCAGUGAAAACAUAAUUUCGCAGAUUAUGCUGAGGUAUACUGAAAUGGUCGGUAGUAUACGAAACAAGGAUACUUGUGGAAAUUACCGUUUUUUAUGCAGUGAUGUUUAAAAUGAAUCAAUAAAUCAAAGGUGUAGCACUAUUAUAAUCGCAGAUAAAAGCAACUAUCAUGUCGGUAACGCAAUAGACGCAUCAGAUGAUGAAGAAUCCAAGUUAGGAAAUUAGUUGGUUACUAACUUCACACCUUGGAAAUGCCAUAAGUUAUUUCGCUAUGAAGCAAGGAAACUUGUGUAUAAGAUGUGUAUAGGGUCUAAGUAGGCAAAGGCGAAGAAAUAAAUUUUAUAAGAGGAUUUAUAGAAAAUUAAUGAUAAUGAAUUGUUGCUGAAAGGUGUAGGUAAUCAUUCCUAUUAAGGCUUGAAGUUAUUUGUGGCAGGAAUGUUAUAAGGUCGCUACUUAUAGCACAUACCUGUUUCCCUUGUGGCUGAAUAUAUCUGAAGAUUGUAUUUAGUAGAAUGAAGAUUCAAUAGUAUAUGUUCAAUAAA
rnacentral:ncRNA from 12 species